rnacentral:lncRNA from 1 species
CUCACACAGCAUCCAAACGGGGCACCCUUUUGGCAGGCCAGGCAGAGACCCGCGGCCACAGGCUGCGUGCCCACAGGACCUCCCCGGGACAGAGGGUCCGUGGCAGGCAGGCAGCACACAGCCUGUGGUCUCGAACUGGCUGCCGGGCUGGAGGGUGCGGGUCGCGCUGAAGCGCCCCACCCUCCCGUGAGGGAACGGGCGCUGAGGACGGAAAUCCCUCUGUGCCACGAAGGGUGUCGGGGUGUGCGACUGUGUGCCCCUUGUGUAGGCGUGUGUGUGUGUGUGUGUGUGUGUGAGUGCCCACGCGAGCGUGCGGCGGGGGUGAUUCCGUACGCUGCCGCCCUCCUUCCCGACCUGCUGCCCCACUUGGGCCCCCGUGACCGAGCGGGGACAAGGGUCCCCAGGCCCUCAGCUGUCCUCGCGGCGUGGGAGUGUGUGGAGGCGCGGCGGCCGUGCCGGGGGAGGGCGGGCGACCUGUGCGUCAGCGGUGGGGGGGCUGCUGGCGGCCGGGUAGGAGGGAAGGCCCGGGCCGCGGUGGUGUGGGGCGCCGAACCCCCUGGUGCCGGGACCCGCGAGCCGCGGGGCGCAGCCCUGGGCAGGCGUGGAGGCUGCCGGGCACGGCUGGCGUGUGGCUGGGCGAUGGCGGCAGGCAGGGGAUCCGGCCUAGAAAGAGAGAGUAGGAGUUCCCUGUGGCCAGCGGCAGCCGGAGGAGGUUGGCUCCCCUUGGCUUGGCGGCAGCGUGCCGACUGGGCGCCCGGUGCUCUGCAGGUCCUGGGCUGGGCAGGCGGAGGGCUGGAGUUCGGGCACUGGUGCAGGGCUAGGCGGAGGGCGGCUGAGGAGGAGGGGGGGGGAGGAGGAGAAGAGAAGAGAAAAGAGGGAGGAGGCGGAGGAGAAGCGGCAGCGGGAGCGGGAGCGGGAGUGGGAAUGGGAAUGGGAAUGGGAGUGAGAGGAGGAGGAGGAGGAGGCGGCGGCGGCGGCGGCGGCGGCGGCGGCGGCUGUGCGGGCGCGCACUCAAGAGGGGCCUGGAGGCAGCCUCUGGCGUCUACGGCCAUACCACCCUGA